GCCUCUGUAGCUCAAUGGUAGAGCAUCACCUUCGUAAGUGCUUUCUUGGGAAGAAACCUCGGAAAGAACAUCUCAAAAAAGGUGGAGGUUCUGGGUUCGAGCCCCAGCAGAGGCU
rnacentral:tRNA from 1 species